rnacentral:antisense_RNA from 1 species
CUAGCCUGGUGGGGCAGACGAUGCAGCAUGAGCCCGGCAGGCAGCCCAGAGCUCAACCCACCAGGGUGAUCAUGGACUCCGUGAUCACCCCCAUCUCCACACCCCGUCCUGGCCUCUGGGGGACCUGGCAGGGCAGGCUCGGGCCUGGCGUUCCCAAGCGGGGUGUGGGUGGCAAUAGUUACCGGAUGAGGUCCAACAGGGCAUCGGCUGAGCUCAUGAUGGGCUUCCCACUCUGCUCCGUGGUCUCCUUCUGGGCCGCGCUGCCUGGGUGGAUGAUGGAGACCAUGAAGAUGCCCACGAUGACAGCCAUGAAGGUGGUCCACAGGUAGUACGCCACGGUGAGGACGCCCAGGCGGCUGGAGGUCUUGGCAUCCAGGGAGGCAAGUCCGGACAUCAAGCUGGGAGGGCGAGGGGGUCAGGGGCUGUGGUGGGGAGGCCAGGGCCUGGCUGGCACUCAGCGCUCACUCAGCCCCUCCUGGCCAUGUCCAGCUGCCUCACAGUGCUCCAGGGAACCCCAUUCUUCCAACAAUCCAGUCCUGUGCUCCUUCCAGCCUCUCUUUCUGCUCUGCCCUCUCCCCCACGCCCCGGGGCGCAGGCCACACACAUCUGUGCCUUGAGACCUCUGCACUGCUAGGCAGAGAGCCCAGGCCAGGGUGGCUGUGGGAUGGUGGGGACACUGUUGGGGGAGUGAGAGAUUAAUUAAGGAAAUGCGUGUGCUUUACUUUGUUGCCUCAAGUUUCCCAUGCUUGGUGUCCUCUCAGAAGCUUCCUUCACUCUCCUGACCCCUGCCCAGCCAGGCAGGACCAAGCUUGGUCUACCUCUGAGAUCUACCUGCCUCUCCCCCAGAGUGAGGAGCCCAUUCUAGGACCCCCACAGCCCCUGGCUGCUCCAUCAGGACCCUGCCUGUCUGUUUGUGAGAGGAGGGAUGAGUCUGACUUCCCUGUGGGUCCCGAGAGGACGGCACUGCAGGCGGUUCCUGCAGGCUCCUGGACGAGCUAAUGAGGAGUGAGUGAGAGCGCUGGGCUGGGGGCUGGUGACCCAGGUCCUAGUCCCAGCUCUGCCAACUGGCUGUGUGGCCUCAGGCAAGCAAGUCACUUCCCCAUCUUUGGGCCUCAGGAUCUCCAUCUGUAAAAUGGGGACAUCCUGGGUUUGUGCCUGGGCCCAGGCUCCUUGUCACAGGGGGCUGUGUUGAGAGGGCUGUGGGUCUCUCUCCUCUUGGCUCCUCCCCACCCCUAGCCACCCUGGCCUGGGCUUUCUGCCUACCAGUGCAGGUCAGCCCCAGAGUACUGGAGCCCUGGAGCCCUGGAGCCCUAGAGCAAUGCUUCUUGCAGCCGUUGUUGGGGGUGUGGGACGGUGGGGGGUGUGGGGGGGAGUGAGAGAUUAAUUAAGGAAAUGCUUGUGCUUUGCUUUGUUGCCGAAAGGAUUUUUCCCCAAAGCCCUUUCAUUCUUUCAGAUAAAGAAGUAUUUGUCUGGUUUUAAUCAUGUAAACAAGAGCAGAUAAUCCCCAGCCACGCUCCUCUUAUCAUUAGAUUCCACGCAGCAGCAUCCAGCCCCAGGCUGAGCGUGAACACCGGCCCCCUCCCCCAGCGGGAGCCACUGCCUGUGAGGGCCCUGCCCUGCCUGCUCGCUGGCGCAAUGGCUUACUCUUCUGAUUGAGCCCGUCUUCUUGUGUGAUGGAGAUGACACCUCCUGGAGGACCCAGCAGCCUCAGAAGCCAUCAUCUCUCUGGGACUUUACUGUUCCCCAGACACCUGAACACCCAGCCCACUGGAUCCUUAACCUUCUGAGUGAAGCACUGUGGAGUUCCACUGUGAGCCACAUUUGUAAUUUAGCAUUUUCUAGUAGUCACAUUAAAAAGUAAAAAG